rnacentral:rRNA from 1 species
UACGUAGGCAGCGAGCGUUGUUCGGAGUUACUGGGCGUAAAGGGUGUGUAGGCGGUUGUUUAAGUUUGGUGUGAAAUCUCCCGGCUCAACUGGGAGGGUGCGCCGAAUACUGAAUGACUAGAGUGCGGGAGAGGAAAGUGGAAUUCCUGGUGUAGCGGUGAAAUGCGUAGAGAUCAGGAAGAACAUCGGUGGCGAAGGCGCUCUGCUGGACCAUAACUGACACUCAGGGACGAAAGCUAGGGGAGCGAAUGGG